rnacentral:rRNA from 1 species
UACGUAGGUGGCGAGCGUUGUCCGGAUUUACUGGGCGUAAAGAGCGCGCAGGCGGCUGGUCAAGUCCGAUGUGAAAGCUCCCGGCUUAACUGGGAAAUUGCAUCGGAAACUGAUCGGCUGGAAGGUGGGAGAGGGUAGCGGAAUUCCCGGUGUAGUGGUGAAAUGCGUAGAUAUCGAGAGGAACACCUGCGGCGAAGGCGGGUUGCUGGGCUGACACUGACGCUGAGGCGCGAAAGCCAGGGGAGCGAACGGG